rnacentral:rRNA from 1 species
AUGGCGGCCUCGCUGCUCCUCCGCCGCCGAGAGCUCGCGUCGCCUCUCGGCACCCUGGCUGCCAACGUCCAGUCAACAUAUGCUGCGAAUGUGUGCUCCAGAUGGCGUGGUUCUGGAAGAACUUUGAGUGCAAAGGCAACCCAGAAUGAGGUUACUGGAACUGAUUUGGGAACAGACAAGUCAUGUGGGGUUAUGGAGGGAAAGGGGGGGCAGACAGAUUACACCGAUGAAAUGUGGACCAAAGAUAGGGAGGAGAUAAAACACAUGAAGGCAGAAUACGAGGAGCACAUGAGGACUUGCCGCAAGCAGAUGGAUGCGCUUUUUGAACGUUAG